AAAUGGGAUUAACCUGGAUGAUUUUAGUGUUUAUCCUCUUCAAGUUUCUCCUCUCUGUGAUCCUGAUCCACUGGGAGAGUAAAGCAUUGUGUCGAACUCAUUUCAACAGCCUGCCCAUGAUCACACUGAAGCAGGACAUGUGAGCUGUGAUGGACUUCAUAAGGCAAAUGUUUUGUGACUGUUAACCUCAGAUGAGUUUAGUUAUCAAACUAUUCCACUUACUUUUACUUGUUUCUGUGAGGAUCUGCUGGUUAAUAAGCCGUUGUGUUUGUAGGUUUAAAGUAAAACAUUGUAUAUCUGAAUUUAAGUGUGAACUAAAAAAUCCUUAUAAACUUUAUGUAACUUUAGAAUUUAUCAUUUUUUUUAUCAUGCUCAUGUUUGUAUGGCUUGGCGAAUAAAACUGCACGUUGACUUCA